GCCAACAUGGCAUAGUGGUUUGAGUACUGGACUACAAUUUUGGAUACCAGGGUUUGAAUCCCAGCUUGGCC